UACAGAGGUCCCAAGCGUUGUUCGGAUUCAUUGGGCGUAAAGGGUGCGUAGGCGGCGCGGUAAGUCGGGUGUGAAAUCUCGGAGCUUAACUCCGAAACUGCAUUCGAUACUGCCGUGCUUGAGGACUGGAGAGGAGACUGGAAUUUACGGUGUAGCGGUGAAAUGCGUAGACAUCGUAAGGAAGACCAGUGGCGAAGGCGGGUCUCUGGACAGUUCCUGACGCUGAGGCACGAAGGCCAGGGGAGCAAACGGG
rnacentral:rRNA from 1 species